rnacentral:lncRNA from 9 species
ACAAGGGAAGGCCUUUCGCACAGUCCCAAGGCCAGGAAGACGGAGGACGAGAACCCAGGAGCCCCCACGUCACCCCUGGGCUGUGCCUCUGCCCUCCAAGGCAUCAGUGACUUGAACAGCCUUCAGGCUAGGUAGGGACAAGAAAGGACCUGCCCGUGUCACUCUGGAAGCCAGCCCACCGCAGGCCAGUUCUUACAACCAGUCCAAGGUGCUUGGCAACGUGGACCUUCUCAAGAAGAAAUUCUGCUUGAAUGGACCAUCUCCAAGGUCCACCUGCAGCGGGGCGGGUCCCCGGGAACCAACAAGGAACAGGCUUGCUGUGGACCAGCACUGCUCGAUGGGUUCAAGGCGUCCUUGUCUGCUAAACAGGAAGGCAUGUGUGAUUCUGGCCUCCAGGUGGCUGAGUCAGUCCCAGCUAAGAGCCGAGGCAGCCCUGGGCUGUACAGAACCGACAGCAGGGGGUCCUCUGCUUCCUGAAAUGCACAUCUGCCCCAUAGCCAGCCUCCCGCCUUAGGAAAAGCAGCCGGGCUUGUCCCCCAAGCCCACGCAGGCUGUGUCUGUUACUUGCAUCUGGGAUGCCGUGGGGAGUGUGGUACCCAAAGGGUAAGGAGUGUCACCUCGCCUUGGCCAUGUGUGACUCUGGAACUUAAGGACUUCUGUGUCAGAAGAAAGGCACCCCUCUUUGGAACAUUUGCACCUGCAGAACCAGACCCGGGCCCCAGGAUCACGGAAUCCACCGGGGUCAGUAUGAAGUGACCACAGACCUUGCGACCACCAUGGGCCAGCUCCAAUAUGACAAGGCCAUCUGCUGAUGGGCCACAGGCGUUGCCUGCAGAAGGACGCCCAAGGCAACUUGGGUGGAGACAUGGCCAGCUGUGUGACAUUAUAGGGUUUCCAGACCUGGGACCAGGAAGCAGCCACAAGGCUUCCUUCCCUCCAACCAAAGUUCUCAGGGUGCAAAAGGCAGCCUCGCCAACCGGCCUGGCCAAUCCCAUGCUGAGCCCAGCCCUGUGCCUGAUCCGUCAUCAAGGGCAACCCAGCUGGUGUUUCAGGAAGAACCCAGCCUUCAAAGUUGACUUCAAAUUGCUAUGAAUCACCCUAUCUGAUGCAAAUGUGGGCUUGGGUAGACUCGGAGAUAGCUGAUUGCCUCAGAUUAAUCCACAGUUGCCUCGGCAGGUAAUUUACUUCUGGGAGUUUCAGGGACUAAGAAGAACAAGGCAUUUGCAUAAAUAGACUAAACUCAGAGUCCAGGCAGCCAGCCGGUUCUCUGACUGGCAGCUCCUGGUGACAGAGGACUCCCAUGAUUCUGGACCCCACCCACCUAUCCAUAUCCCAUACGUGAAAAGCAUCCUUGAAGUCCGGCCAUGGUCCCCAGCCACUGCCCCUGAUAAGUGGGUGCUCCACCGCAAUGCCCCUCAGCAGGUGGUCUGUCUCUCCACAUUUCCGUGACUUUUGCUGCAACCAAAUUCUUUCUUGCCCUGGGUAGCGAUCCACCAUCAUGGCUCCAGUCACCCUCCAGGUCAACUGGCUUUGUCCUGGGAUGUUCCUUCAUGCGUUUGAAGUGUUCCCUGGCUUCUCUGUGCAGACCAAAGCCCUGGACUUCCUAAUACAGCAGGGUUCUGGAACGCUCCACCAUCUGGUCAGCCUCCUCCAGGCUUCCUUUCCUUACAGCCUUCCUCUGAGAAUGUGGCAGCCAUACCAGGGGUGGGCUCACCAGUAUCACCUCCCUUGUUUCAGCCACUGUACUCCUAUUAAUAUGACCUGGCCUUUUGGACAGCUCAACCGCAUGGUGUCUCGUAAUAAGAUUUAGAGUUAACUAAACACGCCCUUUGUAAAAUGGGCACUGUUUGGCCUCCUUUCUCCCAGCUGGUAGCUGUUCUGUUGAGGUUUGGAGCUAAAUACUACACUUAAUAUUUAUUUCUGUGUAUGUGUGUGUGUGUGUGUGUGUAUUUGUAUUUUUACGCCCACACCCUUGGCAUAUGGAGGCUCCCAGGCUAGGGGCCGAGUCAGAGCUGUAGCUGCCAGCCUACACCACAGUCAUAGCAAUGCCAGAUCCUUAACCCACUGAGCGAGGCCAGGGAGCGAACCCUCAACGUCAUGGUUCCUCGUCAGAUUCGUUUCCACUGCACCACAACGGGAACUCCCUAUUCCUGUUAUAUAUUGUCGUUUUAAUUUGACCUGUCCUUCCGUCCCUGUCACUCACAGUAAUUUUCUGCCAUUUGGAAACCUGUUACAAACGCCUUCGGUGGCUUGACCCAGGUUAUUAUUUAAAAAGCAUUUUCUGUUAUGGAUGCGGUUAAUCAUUACAGUCAGCAGCUUGCUUUUCUCUACCUUUUUUCAAACGGCAAUAUGCUAAUGGCUUUGCUAAAAUAUCUUAAAAUGUUAGCGCCGGAAGAGAUGCUAAGGACAUGUGCUUCAAUUCCUUCAUUUGACGGAGGAGGGAACUGAGGCAGAGGGGUGCCAGGGACCAUGGAGACCUCCGAUCUGUGGCAGAGCCAGGCGCUGUGACUCAAAUAUUCCAACCCAGGUAUCCUUUGGAUAUUUGUGCAGAAAAACAAACAAAAAAAAGAUGAUGGGCAUAUGGCACCAUGUCUACUGGAGGAUUCCAAGAGCAGACAACAGAAUCUUGGGGAGGAGGAGCUUGGUGGCUUAAAAGCCACAGCUGCCCAUCAGCUGAUGAAUAAACACCACGUGCUCUGGCCUUUUCGAGGCAGGUUAUCCAGCAGCCCCGGAAAGAAAUGAGGCAUUGGCUCACAGCAACAUGGGUGGCUCUUGACAAUAUUCUGGUGUGUGAAAGAAGCCAAUCACAAGUAUUGUGUGAUUCCUCUAAUGCAAAACAUCCACAAUAGCCAAACCCACAGAGAGAGAAAGCAGUGCGUGCGUGCCAGGGCCAGCAGAUGGAGGGGGAGACCAGAGUGGCAGCUGAUGAAUGGUACAGGGUUUUUUUUGGGGUUUGGGGGGUGGGUGGGGUCAUGAAACUGCUGUCACAAUUAGUGGUGAUGACUGCAGGACUUCGUGAUUAUACUCAAAACUACUGAAUUGUAUAUUUUCGAGUGGUUUCAAUGGUGAAUUUUAUGGCAUGGAGAUUAUAUCUGAAUUUUUGGAAAAGAAGCCCCAGGGGGCCUUUGCACUUGUGGCCCCUGAAGCAGAAAGGAGGUACACACAAUGAGGUACCACCUCACCCCGGCCAGAAGGGCCAUCAUCAAAAAGUCUACAAACAGUACGUGCUGGGUGUGAAGAAAAAGAAACCUCAUUACACCGUUGGUGGGACUAUAAACUGGUGCAACCACUGUGGAAAACAGUAUGGAGAUUCCUCAGGAAACUAAAAAUAGAAUUACCAUUUGAUCCAGCAGUCCCACUCCUGGGCAUCUAUCCAGAGAAAGCCAUGGCUUAAAUAGACACAUGUACUCCAGUGUUCAUUGCAGCACUGUAUACAACAGCCAAGAGAGGGAAAUAAUCUAAAUGCCCAUCGACAGAGGAGUGGAUCAAGAAGAAGUGGUACAUAUAUACACAAUGGAAUAUUACUCAGCCAUUAAAAGGAAAGAAAUAACGGCAUUUGCAGCAACAUGGAUGGACCCAGAAAUUAUCAUGCUAAAUGAAGUCAGACAGUGGGACACCAACAUCAAAUGCUAUGACUUACAUGUGUGAUCUAAAAAAAGGACACAAUGAGCUUCUCUGCAGAACAGAUACUGACUCACAGACUUUGAAGAACCUAUGGUUUCCUGAUGAGACAGGUUGGGGACUGGGGGGAUGCACUGAGGGUUUGGGAUGGAAAUGUGAUAAAACUGGGUUGUGAUGAUCGUUGUACACCUAUAAAUGUAAUAAAAUUCAUUGAGUAAU